rnacentral:lncRNA from 1 species
AUGGUGGGAAUUGAAGAGGUGAAGCUGGGAGUACUGUGUGAGGUGGUCAUGGUGGUGGGGAUUAAAGAGGUGAAGCUGGGAGUACUGUGUGAGGUCAUCUCCGUGGUGGGGAUUGAAGAGGUGAAGCUGGGAGUAUUGUGUGUGGUGGUCUUGGUGGCGGGGAAUGUUGAUGUGAAAUUGGGAAUACUUUGUGAGGUGGUCUCAAAGGUGGUUGUCAAAGCGGUAAAGCUGGGUGUAGUGUGUGUAGUGGUCCUGGCUGUGGUGAUUGAAGAGGUGAAGCUGGGAGUACCGUGUGAGGUGGUCUUGGUGGUGGCUAUUGACAUGGUGAAGCUGGAAGUAGUGUGUAAGGUGCUUCCAGUUGUGAAUAUUGAAGAGGUGAAACUGGGAGUAGUGUGGGUGGUUGUCUCAGUGGUGGGGAUUGAAGAGGUGAAGUUGGGAGUGCUGUGUGAGGUGGUCUCUGUAGUGAAGAUUGAAGAGGUGAAGCUAGUACUCUGUGAGGUGGUGUCGGUGAUGGGGAUUGAACAGGUGUAGCUGGGAAUAGUGUGUGAGAUGGUCUCAGUGGUGGGGACUGAAGAAGUGAAGCUGGGAGUAGUUUGUGAGGUGGUGUCAGUGGUGAAGAUUGAACAGGUGAAGCUGGGAAUACUGUGUGAGAUGGUUGCGGUGGUGGGGAUUGAAGAGGUGAAAAUGGGAGUACUAUGUGAGGUGGUCUCUGUGGUGCCAACUGAACAGGUGAAGCUGGGAAUACUGUGUGAGAUGGUCUGGGUCAUGCGGAUUGAAGAGGUGAAACUGGGAGUACUAUGUGAAGUGGUCUCAGGGCUGGGUACUAAAGAGGUAAAGCUGUAAGUACGGUGUGAUGUGGUGUGGGUGGUGGGGAUCAAAGAGGUGAAACUGGCAGUACUGUAGGAUGUGGUCUUGGAGGUGGGGAUUGAAGAAGUGAAGCUGGGAGUACUGUCCGAGGUGGUCUCUGUGGUGGGGAUUGAAGAGAUGAAGCUGGGAGUACUGUGUGAGGUAGACUCGGUGGUUGUUGAAGAGGUAAAGCUGGAUGUAGUGUGUAAAGUGGUCUUGGUUUUGGUGACUGAAGAGGUGAAGCUGGGAGUACUGUGUGAGGUGGUCUCGGUGGUGAAGAUUGAAGAGGUGAAGCUGGGAGUACUGUGUGAGGUGGUCUCAGUGGUG